AGUAAAAGUCAUCAAAGUCACUUUAUUUGUCAAUUCUGCAGUAUGUACAAGACAUGCAGAGGAUCGAAAUUGCUUUUCACUCAGACCCAAGGUGCAGACAAUAGACAUUUAACAUACAUCUUUAAGUAAAAGAAAAGGAAUAAAAGCAAGAAAAUAUAAAUAAUGAAAAAGGCACAAGUAGCAGCAACAUAUUGGGUAAAGAAAACCGGAUAGUGCAAAAUGAAUACAGUAGUGCAAAUGGCAUGGCAGUUGUGCAGGUUUAGCUUAUAUACUGGUAAGUUAAGUGUCCAUGAACAGUACAGAGUUGAUGGGAGGCGGGUUCAGAGUCUGGAGGUUUUGUGGGCAGGG